rnacentral:misc_RNA from 1 species
AAGUCGUAACAAGGUUUCCGUAGGUGAACCUGCGGAAGGAUCAUUAUUGAAUAAUCUUGAUGGAUUGUUGCUGGCUCUUCAAAGGAGCAAGUGCACAUCUGUCAUUUUUAUCUUUCCACCAUGUGCACUAUGCAUAGACUUGACAUUUCUGUGAUCAAACUUUGUUUUUGAUUUUUGGAGAUUGCUGUUUGUGAUAACAGCUUUUUCUGUGUUCAAGUUCUAUGAAUUUAUAUACACGCCUAUGCAUGUCAAAGAAUGUUAUAAAGGGUUUUUAAAAUCCUAUAAAGUUAAAUACAACUUUCAGCAACGGAUCUCUUGGCUCUC